ensembl:lncRNA PURPL p53 upregulated regulator of p53 levels
GUGGUGACCUGGGAAUCAAUGUGUGAGGUGGUGCUAUGUAGCAGGAACCCCUCUUGCUUUGCAAAUAGUUUUUUGUUUGUUUUCCUUUUUGCCCAAUAGAGCCCUGCUCUACUGACCCUUCAAUGUGCCCGUGUGCCUAAAUAUUCCUGGUCGUGUGAAAAGAACCCAGGUAUUAGCUGAACUAAGGAGCACAAUUCUGCAACAUUUUGGCACCCAAACACGGGGCUUGAGAAAUGAAUGCAAUUGGAGAAACUGGUUGUUUUACCAGGCGUUGAUUGGAAAUGUGUGCUUCCCUUUAAGCAGUCAAGCUCAACUUGCAGAACUGAUGGGAACCCCUUGGGAAAACUGGCCUCAAAUGUUUGUCUACACAGUCCACAUACAGGGUUCUUAACCUGCGUUUCUAGACUUAUUAUUUCUUUUUAAGUUUUUACCUACAUUUUAGACUGACCCUGCUUGUGCCUGUGAACCAACCAACAAUCUCUGGCUGCAGCUCAGAAAGGACAAAAGAGAAUGGGAAACACUUUCUGAAAAUGUCAGAACUCUUGAAAACAUGGAUGAGGAAAAGCAUAAGUACUGCUUUAUGCUUUUCUUAUGAAUUUUAAAAGAUGUAAUUUAAAGGUACUUUAAAGUGAUAUUUGUGCCCUUGUAACUGAUUCAAAGUAGACUGCUAAGGACAAUAAGUAAUAAGAGUCUACAAAUAUCAGUAAAUUAUGAGAAAAAACGGUCUAAUGGUACUUAAAAUUGCAUUGUGAUUUAUUAAAUAACAUUGAACAGCUCCACCUGUAACAUUAAGAUUCCAUUUGAGCAUAUAGAAAAUAUAUUUAUCGCAACCUGAAGUGAUUUGGAAAGUAUGCUGGGAAGAAAAUAUAUUUACAAAUUAGUCUCAGAGGGUAGGUAUCCUGUAGCCAGAUGGAAUAAGAAGAGAGGGAAGGGAGAUUUUGUUCAAAGGGGGAGCAUAAGCUAAGGAAUAAAGCCACAAACAAUGAUUAAAUUAGGUAAAGUGCAAUUAGCUGAAUAUUGCAUAAGCAUACAUAUGGGAAGAAGUGGAAAAAGGAGUGACAAUAUGAAGCUAAAGGGUUUGAAGUGUUCAAGAUAAUACUAGGCUUCCUAGCCUAUUCCGAGACAUCUUGUUUUAGAGUGCAAUAGAUAAGAACUCUAAGGAUGAAAGUAGGAGACAUGCAUUCUAGUCUACGUUUUGGUUAAUGGACUGAAAGUGAAAGAUGGACUGAAAUUGGGGGAUGGAAUAAAAAUGUGAUAGAAUAGAAAAUAGAAAAAGCAAUUAGCCUAAUGUCAUUGAUACUUAGAGAAAAUAUGGAAAAUAGUAAAUUAGUGAUAUAUAUCUUUUCUAAUUCACCAGGGUGAGUGAACAAAGGAAAUCGGAUUUAAAAGUAUUCAUGACAUAGAUGCAAUAAGGUUUCUCAGUCAGACAUAGCAAAUUGAGGGAAGGGAAGAUUUAGAGGAUUGGAAAAUGUCUUGCUUGUAGACUAAUAGGAUAUCAAUAAGCCAUAUGAGCAAUAAUUUGAAAUAGUUUUUGUAAAGUAUCAUGAAGGUAAACCCUGUUUAGAACAAAUUAGAUUUGAAGUACUUGUGACAAAUGCAAUUGACAAUGCCUUUAUGCAGCUGGAAAAUUGUUGCUUAGCAGAAAAGCUUGUGCUGGACAAAUAGAUGUCCAAAUUGAAUAGAUGUUUUCUUAAGCUGAACUAAUUGAGACAAAUAUCCUUAUUAAAUCAAAAAAUUAAAAAUUGAAAUAACUUACCUAUGAUAGGGUAAAUAAUGUUAUUAAUAUACACAAGAAAUAUGUGAUGUAUAUGUGUAUGUACAUAUGUAUACAUAGUAAUAAUACAUAGUGCUAUUUUUAAAUGAUAUUUUACAUAGUGCUUUUUUAAAUGAUUUUUCAAUCAUC